CCAUAAACGAACCCUUCUUUUAUCGUUUCCGAAUUCCCACUCUCCCCUCCUCUAACUGCUAAGCUCAAAACAAACACCUCCAUGGCGAUUUAGCAAGUCAGCCGUGUCCAUUUCUUAAACUCUUAAACUACCCCUCCGCCAUUUCCAUGGCGAAAUCGGAUAAUUCGAAAUCGAAACUCCCUCCUUACGUCGAUUCUUCCGCCAAUUUCCAACCUUCCAACGACCCCAAUUCUUACUCGCUCGAGAAAUUUAGACUCUACGAGACUAGACAAAGAUUUUAUCUAGUCGGGAGUGACAGGAAGAGGAAAUUGUUUCGGGUAUUGAAGAUUGAUCGAUCAGAGCCGUCUGAUCUCAAUAUUAGUGAAGAUCUAGUUGUUUAUUCUCCACAAGAAAUAAACAACUUGCUUCAGCGAAUAGCUGAAGGGAAUCGUGCCACUGGGGGACUAAACUUUGUAGUGAAGGCUUAUGGGAUUGCAGGUUGCAUUAAGUUUCUGGAGUCUUAUUAUUUGAUUCUAGUAACAAAGCGGCGGCAAAUAGGAUUUAUUUGUGGUCAUGUGAUAUAUGGCAUAGACGAGAGCCAAUUGAUUACCAUUCCGCAUGUAUCAGUUCAAACUGAUUUGGCUCAUUCUAAAGCUGAGAUAAGGUACAAAAAGCUAUUAUCUAGUGUAGAUUUGACUAAAGAUUUUUUCUUUAGCUAUACAUAUCCUGUGAUGCAAAGCUUGCAAAAGAAUGUGAUGUCAAUUGGUGGAGAUAGGAUGCCAUAUGAUAACAUAUUCGUGUGGAAUGCAUAUCUAACACAAGCUAUACGGUCUAGAUGUGGUAAUACUAUUUGGACAAUAGCAUUAGUGCAUGGAAAUUUUAAGCAGAUCAGGUUGUCAAUCUUUGGGAGAGGCUUCAGUGUUUCACUGGUUUCCAGACGCUCUCGACAUUUUGCCGGUACCCGUUACUUGAAAAGAGGGGUUAAUGAUAUGGGAAGAGUUGCAAAUGACGUUGAAACUGAGCAAAUUGUCCUUGAUGAAGAUGCUGGAUGUUGCAAGGGGAAAAUGAGUUCUGUUGUGCAGAUGCGUGGUUCGAUUCCUCUUUUCUGGUCACAAGAAGCUUCACAAUUAAGUCCUAAACCUGAUAUAAUCUUGCAAAAGUACGAUCCUACCUACCAGGCGACGAAAUUGCAUUUUGAAGACUUGGUGAAGAGAUACGGCAAUCCCAUAAUAGUGCUUAAUUUGAUAAAGACUGUUGAAAAAAGGCCUAGAGAAAUGAUGCUAAGGCGUGAGUUUGCCAGUGCAGCUGGGUAUCUGAACACAAUUCUCCCGGAAGAAAAACAACUUCAGUUUAUCCAUUGGGACUUUCACAAGUUUGCGAAGAGCAAGUCUUCCAAUGUUUUGGCUGUUUUAGGUGCUGUGGCAAGUCAAGCACUUGAUUUGACUGGUUUUUACUAUAGUGGUAAACCUAACACAGUUAAGAGGAGAGCCGACCACCUUAGUCGAACAAGCACCGGAAGGGAUGCUUCUCUUAGACAUCUAAGAGCUAGUUCAGGAGAUCUUGCAAGGAUUGGAAGUAAUAAUGAAAAUUUAAAUUCUAUGAUUAAUCGGGAUAGGGAGAGUGAUUCUAGUCAAUUGAAAAAACAAGACAAGGUUGGUGCUGAAGGACCAAGUUUUCAAAGUGGAGUUCUACGUACCAACUGCAUUGACUGCUUGGAUCGUACAAAUGUUGCCCAGUAUGCUUAUGGUCUAGCGGCUUUUGGACGCCAACUUCUUGUAAUGGGUCUGACAGACAUGCCCAAAGUUGAUCCUGAUAGUACCAUUGCUUCUGCUCUUAUGGAUAUGUAUCGAAGCAUGGGGGAUGCUCUUGCCCAGCAAUAUGGUGGCUCUGCUGCUCAUAACACUGUGUUCCCUGAGAGGCAGGGAAAGUGGAAAGCUACAACUCAAUCUAGGGAGUUUAUUAAGUCUAUCAAGCGAUACUACAGCAAUACAUACACCGAUGGUGAAAAGCAAGAUGCAAUAAAUCUAUUUCUUGGUUACUUCCAACCACAGGAAGGGAAAUCUCCUCUUUGGGAGUUGGAUUCAGACUACUAUCUUCAUGUCUAUGGGAGUGCGAGAGGAGAAGUAGAUCCCCCCUUUCCAGAUAAUUGCAAUUCAGAAACCAAUGCUAAGCCUGUAGGAGUUGGAAUAACUCUUGCCCCUAUUCCAGCUUUCAGGGAGGACUUUUCAAGAAUGAAGUUGACAUCAUUUGAUAAAUUGAUUGACCGGACAUGUAGUGCUAUAAAGAAUGUAAGACUCUGUAGAGAACCUGAUCACAGACCAGGUGGCAGUACAGGAAAUUCAGGUGUGGCUCCUGAUGCAGUUGAAAUACAGCUCAAAACCCCAAAUUGGCUCUUUGGCCAGAAAAAGUAUGAAGAGAGUGGAAGUGCCUCCAAGGCUGUUAAAAGUGAAAUUGAAAAUGGAGCAUCUUGUAAAGAGAUUGAUGUUGAUGGUUACUCGGAAUUAAAUUUGCUUUCUUCUGUUGGUGAUAACAAUGAAGAGGAUAUCUUCCGAAGGUACCUUACAAUGACCUCAGUUGAUGAAGCCAGCGGUUGUUAUGGUGGUACCCUACUACUAGGUGAUCCAGAUGAAAGCAGUGAGAUAUAUAAACAUUAUACUGAAUUAUGCCAGGAGCCAGCUAUGGAACCCUUUGAGCAUGAUCUGGAUAAGGAGAAACACUAUGCCAAUGCUCUACGCAUGAGCACAAUCGAUUUUGUAGAUGAUUCUGGUGUUGAAGCAGAGAUGGAAGCUGCCCUCAUGGAUUACGAACGCAUUGGUGCUGAUCUUGGAAUUUUACCACAGUCAUGCAAGUCCUUCGCCACAGAUCCAAGUUGGUUGACAAGAUGGAUUAUUGGGGAAGAGAAGACAGCAAAGGUCUAAAGUCUCUGCCUUUGCAUGCGUGAUAUGACUGUUGUGAGCACACAAAAGUUUCUUGUUCUCAGAAAAAAGGUGGACAUCCUUCAUUUCAUGCCUGUUAUUGCCAGAGCAAACCCAUGCCUACGGUACCUGACAAGACCACAGAAAUUAAGCUUAUGAAAGUAUAAGGCCUAUAAUGAUGUGAAUCCAGCAAAAACUCAGAUGAAGAUCUUAUUCUGACUCGGAAGACCAGAAUCUUAGUUGGGAUUUUCUUCUCUUUAUGUAUGCUUUUGAUGACAUGAUGAGUUGGCAAUCUUUGUUUUAGUUUGCCGUUCCUAUAGACAGUUUUCAGGUGUGCUUGAAAUAUGUUUAAUUAGCACGUGUUGCUCUUGUUCAAUGAUAAAAUGUGAAGUUAUAAAUCUUCGGAUAACUAUGGAGCUCAGAUCAUCCGGGGCACAUCAACCUCAUCUUGCUAUACGAAUGAAUGGAAGAUCUUGGUAAUAUAACUAUAAUUUUUGUUUUGGAUGUAGAAACAUAUUAUAAAUUUCUUUAUAUAUAUAUAUAUAUAAGCUCUUGAUCAGAUUUAUUCCGUGAGUGUGUUUUGAAAAGAUAUCAGGGGGGAUCAAGGACCGCUUUUGAGGAAGUUGAAGGAGAAGCUCCUGAGUUCGGACCGGUCGGAACCUCUCUUUUGCCCCCAUUGUGAGUUUCCAAUGAUGUUUCAGGGUUAGGACCUGUCAGAACCUUUCUCAUUUUAAUAACACAGACUUUUGGUGAAAA